rnacentral:rRNA from 1 species
UACGUAGGGUGCGAGCGUUGUCCGGAAUUACUGGGCGUAAAGAGCUCGUAGGUGGUUUGUCACGUCGUCUGUGAAAUUCCGGGGCUUAACCUCGGGCGUGCAGGCGAUACGGGCAAUACUUGAGUGCUGUAGGGGAGACUGGAAUUCCUGGUGUAGCGGUGAAAUGCGCAGAUAUCAGGAGGAACACCAAUGGCGAAGGCGGCUCUCUGGACUGUAACUGACGCUGAGGCGCGAAAGCGUGGGUAGCAAACAGGAUUAGAUACCCCU